UACGUAGGGUGCAAGCGUUGUCCGGAAUCAUUGGGCGUAAAGCGCGUGUAGGCGGCUCGGUAAGUCCGCUCUGAAAGUCCGGGGCUCAACCCCGGGAGGCGGGUGGAUACUGUCGAGCUAGAGUCCGGAAGAGGCGAGUGGAAUUCCUGGUGUAGCGGUGAAAUGCGCAGAUAUCAGGAGGAACACCAAUGGCGAAGGCAGCUCGCUGGGACGGUACUGACGCUGGAGACGCGAAAGCGUGGGGAGCAAACAGG
rnacentral:rRNA from 1 species